AUCCAGACUCCUACGGGAGGCAGCAGUGGGGAAUAUUGCACAAUGGGGGAAACCCUGAUGCAGCGACGCCGCGUGAGCGAAGAAGUAUUUCGGUAUGUAAAGCUCUAUCAGCAGGGAAGAAAAUGACGGUACCUGAGUAAGAAGCUCCGGCUAAAUACGUGCCAGCAGCCGCGGUAAUACGUAUGGAGCAAGCGUUAUCCGGAUUUACUGGGCGUAAAGGGAGCGUAGGCGGCCUGCCAAGUCUGAUGUGAAAACCCGGGGCCCAACCCCGGGAGUGCAUUGGAAACUGCCAGGCUGGAGUGUCGGAGGGGUAAGCGGAAUUCCUAGUGUAGCGGUGAAAUGCGUAGAUAUUAGGAGGAACACCAGUGGCGAAGGCGGCUUACUGGACGACUACUGACGCUGAGGCUCGAAAGCGUGGGGAGCAAACAGGAUUAGAUACCCGAGCAA
rnacentral:rRNA from 1 species